rnacentral:rRNA from 1 species
GAUGAACGCUGGCGGCGCGCCUAACACAUGCAAGUCGAACGGUUAAAGCACCUUUUAGGUGUGUAUAAGGUGGCGAACGGCUGAGUAACACGUGGGCAACCUGCCCUCCUCUUGGGGAUAGACUCGGGAAACCGAGGAUAAUACCCGAUACUUCAAUGUGGCCGCAUGACGACAUUGAGAAAGCUUUUGCGGAGAAGGAUGGGCCCGCGGCCUGUUAGCUUGUUGGUGGGGUAGAGGCCUACCAAGGCAAUGAUGGGUAGCUGGGUUGAGAGACCGACCAGCCAGAUUGGGACUUGGACACGGCCCAGACUCCUACGGGAGGCAGCAGUGGGGAAUCUUGCACAAUGGGCGAAAGCCUGAUGCAACGACGCCGCGUGCGGGACGAAGGCCUUCGGGUUGUAAACCGCUUUCAGCAGGGACGAGGCGAUAAGUGACGGUACCUGCAGAAGAAGCCCCGGCUAACUACGUG